CACCGCGCGCCCCAGCCAAUCCGCGCGGAUUAACCUUUCCAGGCCCCGCCCCUUCCUGCCGCCGCCGCCGCCGUCACAAGUCCUCGGCUGACCUCCGGAGGGAUGCUCUGCAGUGCGGCACAGUGAGGCCCCCUGACUUCAUCGCGGGAGACUUUAGUGGGGGCGCCUCAGUAUCCCCAUAGCAUGGAGGGGGGAGGUCCCUGAACAGACAGCGUCCUGACCUUCUGCGGGAGCGCCCGCGCUGUGCCCAUCUCUUGGUCCUUGGUCGUCUCCAAUAUUUCUUCAUCUCCCUCCCCGCAAUGCCCGACUCCCAACAGUGCCAUCGCUCAUUGGGGUGGGGGUCAGCUGUUAUCCUGAGGAAUGUUAUUUUUCUAAUGAAUACAGCCAGCAGCAAAGGAGAUCCAAGAUGAAGACAAUAUUCCGAGGGAAAACAUAAAAAUAAAUGGAAAUACAGAUAUGAAAGGGGAAAGGAGAGAACAAGAACUGUGUGUUGGUAAACUGUGUGUUGCUGAACUGGAAUAAGAGAUCAGUAUGAAUUUAACACUAUUUUACUUUUUCAAGAUUUAUUUAUUCUAAUAAGUGAAUUUAUGUUUUUUAAAAAUAUAUCUUCUACAUCUGCAAAGAUAUCCCAGAAGCAAGAAAGCCCAGAUCCUGGCUUCUAAGUAUCAUUUUCCACUAAAAGCAAGCUGUUUCUUUGAAGAGUGGCUGAUCCCAGGCUGAGACUGGGAAGUGCAAGUCAAGCCUGCAACAUCUGAUUACACCAGGAAUUAAAGAGCUCAAUGCCAGGCAUGGUGGGCAUGCCUUGUAAUCCUAGAGACUCUGGAGGCUGAGUCAGGAGGAUCACAAGUUCUAGGUCAGCUCUGUUAACUUAGUAAGACCCUUUCUCAAAAUAAAAAUUAAAAAGGGCUGGAGAUAUAGCUCAGUCAUAGAGCACCCUAGUAUUCCAUCCCAGGUACCGCAAAAAUAAGUAAAUAAAGGGGAGCUAAAAAAAAAUGAUGAGGAUGUACCAAAAGAGCACAAUAGCCAGCUCGAAGAAGCUCCCAGCCAAAUUUGGAACAAUUUGAGCAUCAAAAGGAAUAAUGUCCCAAGUAAGUUGUAACACAUGGAACAAUAAUUUUUAAAAUCCCUGAGUC
rnacentral:lncRNA from 1 species